AGAGGGAGAUGGGCCUGGCUGCUGGGAGCUAGACAAGAUUCAGUGUAUGCAGAGCAAUAGCACCACCACGUUUGCAGAUCUCCCACCAGAACUGUUCCCCCAGCGAGGUCUCCAUCUUGCCAAUCCCUUCGAACGUCCCUUUCACCUUAUGGAUGAACCAGACCUACAAAUGAUACGAGGCGCAAAUUACUGGGACAGGAGAAGAGACAGCUGUGGCAGCCACAUCAGAAGAUGAGACGUUGGUGAUGUCAAGAGGAUCAGGCCCUCAUCCUGUGGUGGACUAAGCACACCAGGGAACCUUAAUGGGCAAGGAUGUUCCAAGUGGCAAACAGCCACCAAUCAUCAGGAUUAAUAGUCAACACACAGAGCGAAGCUUUGGGAAUAAUACUGCAGAAACAGUCCUGUAGGCACAGAAGCAAACAGAAUCAAAUCAGUAUUCCGUGUGGCCAAAUCUUCACUGUAUUACCUUAGUGGGAAUUUGGAUAGUAUUACCCAGAAUGCUCCCUGCUGCAACUUUGCCUUGAAAAACAAUCCGUUUCUGCGCUCAGCAUUAAGUGACUGCAUUAUUAGGAUUUAACUUUGAACUUCAACAUUUGGAAUCCAUUAUUUAAUCAUUAAUUUCCUCCAGUUUCCCCCAACUAGCUUUACUGCUUCAUGUUAGAUCUCUGGGCACUGUGGUCCCAGCCACACGUCUAUCCAACAGUUUGUGCUUCAGCAGUUCAGUGUUCCAUCAAUCUUUCCUACAGCAAAAGCCUCUGUUUAUAUUAACCACUGAGCCAACGGUGUGCCCCGGCUUGAGAGUGCAAAAAUAGAUAAUUCUCUCCCCCCUGUAGGCCUCUCCCAUAGAUCAUUCUGAGUUUGGUCUGUUAGAACCCCUUCAAGGGAAAAGUGACACCGUGAAAAUGACCUCGUGGGGCUCCAGUGUUUGGUGUUGGAUUCCUUCAGUUUAUGAAUCAAGAGCUGAUUUUUUUUUCCUGACUGCCAUCAUGGUGGAAACCAGCCGGGGAUCUGAAAGUCAAGCUGUGUUCUUUCUGGUGCUUUCAACCAUCACGAUUCUGCAGUCAGACCUUCGUUGACAAUUUAGCUGGUGGUGUCUGAGGCAAAAUAAAUUGUUUUCCCAUCUCUGUUUUGAUUCUGCAGCACUAAGACGACUGAAAAAUUUUUCCCUUUUCAAUAAACGAAGCAGAUGCGGCGCAAAGACAUACAGGGAGCAGUGUUGUGUCAGAAGAUGUCAUUUUCACAUGGCUGCUUUUCUGAUCACACCCAUUUCUCCUAGGGCCAGAUUUUUAUACCCUUGGUAACAUAAGAAUCUUACUCCACGAGUGGUCCCAUUGAAGUCAAUGGAUGAGAACCUCAGCUGGUGCACGCUGGGAUAGCUCCACUGAAGUUAGUGUGCUCACAUCCUAGGAGGGUGGGUGGCAGUUUAAAACCUUAAGGUAGAUAAGAGCUAUGCACCAACUCAGGAUCUGCAACAAUGAGGCCACUCGUGGAUUAAGGAGUUUCUUAAUGUGAGCAAGGGUGUCAGCGUCUGGCCUUAAAAGAACAGAACUAAAGGGCACAAGAGAACAAACCAACUGCAAGAGAACUGCCAUGCGCAGGUACAGAAUGCUUAAGAAGGGCUGCGUGUGCACCAGAGUGAAGUACGAAUGGCAAUUCAGUGCUGGUUGCCAAGUAACUGUACUCAAGGCGUGAACUGGGUUGUAUGUGUGCUUUGCAUUUAGAAUAGAAAUCUAUAAUAAUGAUCCCUUACACUGGAUACAGGUGAUUGGGAUGAAAGGCACCAUAUAAUGUGAGUUGUUGUUGUUGUUAUUAUCACCAAAGGAUGCCAAAGGGCUUUACAAGCUAUCGGUGCAGGAGUGGCUGGAGAGCAUGGUACACAACUGAGGAAGACAGAGUGGAGAUGAAUCUGCUACCUGACUCAAAAGGCAGGGUGAAUGUCAACUAGAUGGCUGUGCUUGAAUUUGACCAGGCCCACUGUUCUUGCAAGAAGUGCCAUGGGAAGGUCAAGGAUCACAAGAGGUUGGAAUUUUGAUUUAAAUCACAUCCCAAAAGACCUAUUAGUCACAUGGGUCACUUAAUCUCUUGUUUAAAAGUUCCAGCAAUGAUACAUGGAAAUAGAGCCAUGUUGCAUAUUUUAGCUUUGUUCUCUCCUUUCAGAGGCAUUGGCAGCUUGUGUUUCCUGUGUAAGCCCAAGCAAAUAGUUCAUGGGCUUGUGUUCAGAGUGGAAGCCAGAGACUCACGGGAUCUCAGUUCUUUCCUUGGCUCUGCCGUAGACCUGCUGUGUAGCCUCGGGCAGUUAUUUUCUCUCUAUGUACCUUCUGUAAGAUGAGGAUCAUGAUCCUUCCCCCACAUAGGUAUUGUGAGACGAGGAGGCAAAGAAUGGUUCAUUUCUUUUCCUCGUUGUUAUCCAGUGGCUAAGACGCUGGAGUCUGGAGAACUCUCAGAGGGAAUGUCAGGGCCUGGGGUUUCUUCGGUGGUCAUAAAGACAGAGAGAUGAGUGGUUCCUUUGAGAGAGCGAACAUGGGGGUAAGAAGCUCUUGUGCUGAGCUCACAGCAGCACCGAAGGACACCUGUCAUCCAUCACAAAAUCCUUCUGAACCUGGGUUAUCCUUGUGUGUCUCCCAGGCAGAACAGGCCCAACCUUGCCUACAGUAGCUGUAAGAUCUGCUCCGAGUGUGGCCUGAAAUGCUACAGCAACAACCGGGUGUGAUCUGAUUAACUGUGGAUAGCAUUUGAGAACAAACCAUGCACAUCCAUGGGCAAAGCUCAAGUGGUAGGAAGUAGAGGCUAAAUAUUACCACUCAGGGAAAUGGUGUAGCGGUAACAGGAGAAACCUAGGACGUUAUUGAACCUAGAAGUGUUAGCCCAUUGAAGGUAAGCUUCAAAUGACCUUACAGAGUUCAUAUAAAGGGUUGUGAACAAGGGUUUGAUAUACUGCUGGCACUAGGAAAACUGUGCAGUUGAAUUUAAAUCAUGUUUAGAUUAAUGAAGGCUGAGCAUCAAAAAUAUUUUCAUUUGAGCUUUACAGGACAAUUAAGAACAGUUUAAGCUUUCAAUUCUAGUGGCUCCCACUCAGGUCUGUGGUUAACCAAUUGCUAAAGAUAUAUUCCUAUUCACUUCUGCUGGGAAUGCCAUCUCUGUUUAGUUGUAGAAUUAGACCUUCCUCUAAACAGCCCCCUUAUCUUACAAUCUGCAAAUUGCAGGCUCUCCCACAAAAGGAAAUCUUUUAUUAAGCAUUUUAUUUUUCUUUGCUGCAGGCAGGCAGACUAAAUAAACUCCAGCUUCGACUUUGCACUAGGUCUCUGCAUUGGCCAUAUCCAAGAAACACAGACAAUGCUGGUUUGCAAAAAUGAAAGAAUUUUAAUAAAAACAAGCCAUUCAAAACCCUUGUCAACUCCUUCUGCUGGAUUGUUAUAAAGAAUUUAUUU